UUUCUGCCCGUGGACACCGCCGAAGAAGCAUCGUUAAAGUCUCUCUUCACCCUGCCGUCAUGUCUAAGUCAGAGUCUCCUAAAGAGCCCGAACAGCUGAGGAAGCUCUUCAUUGGAGGGUUGAGCUUUGAAACAACUGAUGAGAGCCUGAGGAGCCAUUUUGAGCAAUGGGGAACGCUCACGGACUGUGUGGUAAUGAGAGAUCCAAACACCAAGCGCUCCAGGGGCUUUGGGUUUGUCACGUAUGCCACUGUGGAGGAGGUGGAUGCAGCUAUGAAUGCAAGGCCACACAAGGUGGAUGGAAGAGUUGUGGAACCAAAGAGAGCUGUCUCCAGAGAAGAUUCUCAAAGACCAGGUGCCCACUUAACUGUGAAAAAGAUAUUUGUUGGUGGCAUUAAAGAAGACACUGAAGAACAUCACCUAAGAGAUUAUUUUGAACAGUAUGGAAAAAUUGAAGUGAUUGAAAUCAUGACUGACCGAGGCAGUGGCAAGAAAAGGGGCUUUGCCUUUGUAACCUUUGACGACCAUGACUCCGUGGAUAAGACUGUCAUUCAGAAAUACCAUACUGUGAAUGGCCACAACUGUGAAGUUAGAAAAGCCCUGUCAAAGCAAGAGAUGGCUAGUGCUUCAUCCAGCCAAAGAGGUCGAAGUGGUUCUGGAAACUUUGGUGGUGGUCGUGGAGGUGGUUUCGGUGGGAAUGACAACUUCGGUCGUGGAGGAAACUUCAGUGGUCGUGGUGGCUUUGGUGGCAGCCAUGGUGGUGGUGGAUAUGGUGGCAGUGGGGAUGGCUAUAAUGGAUUUGGUAAUGAUGGAAGCAAUUUUGGAGGUGGUGGAAGCUACAAUGAUUUUGGCAAUUACAACAAUCAGUCUUCAAAUUUUGGACCCAUGAAGGGAGGAAAUUUUGGAGGCAGAAGCUCUGGCCCCUAUGGCGGUGGAGGCCAAUACUUUGCAAAACCACGAAACCAAGUGGCUAUGGCGGUUCCAGCAGCAGCAGUAGCUAUGGCAGUGGCAGAAGAUUUUAAUUAGGAAACAAAGCUUAGCAGGAGAGGAGAGCCAGAGAAGUGACAGGGAAGCUACAGGUUACAAUAGAUUUGUGAACUCAGCCAAGCACAGUGGUGGCAGGGCCUAGCUGCUACAAAGAAGACAUGUUUUAGACAAAUACUCAUGUGUAUGGGCAAAAAACUCGAGGACUGUAUUUGUGACUAAUUGUAUAACAGGUUAUUUUAGUUUCUGUUCUGUGGAAAGUGUAAAGCAUUCCAACAAAGGGUUUUAACGUAGAUUUCUUUUUGCACCCCAUGCUGUUGAUUGCUAAAUGUAAUAGUCUGAUCGUGAUGCUGAAUAAAUGUCUUUUUUUU